AGUAGAUGUUCUUCUGCUCCCUGUUGUUCUUACAGUUCUGAUGUGUUCACUUAAACUUUCUGUAUUAUGUCUGUAUUUUAUGUUGUUUGUUGGUUUGUUUAUCUUCAAAUUCUCAUUUUGCCGUUAUAAUUUUUCCUCUGUAGUUUGCAUUUUACAUGGCCAUGGAUUCCUCAUUUGACUGCACAGUCGUGAGUGCUUGUUUACAAUAAUGUAGAGUCCGUGUGAGUUUAUGAACAGCUGAUAAUGCCAGAACUGCAGAAGGAGUGAUGUUUAAUGUUGAUGGAGAACUAUGGCCUGAAAUUGGACCCAUAACACUACAGUACUUUUAAAUCAUUUAACAGCAUUAUUACAGCAUUGUGUCUUUGGCAACAUGAAUCAACUACUGUAAAUGUAUUUCCAGUUUGUUGAUUGCAAGUGAGGUCACUGAGUGUUAUUGAUGCCAUGUUUUUGAAGACUGCUUGAUAAGAUGAGAAGGCAGAAAAAAUAUUUUUUUAAGGAGAGAAAAGGCACUUACUACUUCAGCCUAAGUAGAUUUGUUUUGCACAAUAUUAUUUUGUGUACUUUUUAUUAAAACUCAAGGAGUUGAUUGGCAAAGAAUAAUGUUCUAAUUUUUCAUGUUUAUCUAGUGACUCUGAAAGUGAUUUGUUUUAUAUCAACUCAUACAGUUUAUAUAGAAUGCCAAAGGAUGCCCAAAGAUGGUUUCAGUUUUAGGCCAGGUAAGUUUAUGUUUAGUUUGAGAAAGUUCUGAGAUUUUGGCUAGAGAAGGUGGGUCAUUUUUGAGGGGGUUUCAUUGAUUUACGGUACACGGCUACCCUGCUCUGGACCAAAGUUAGAGAUCAGAGCUGUAAGCCAAAUGCAGUAUUGUAUGAAUUAUAAUUAUUUUUCAUUGAUCUAAUAUGUUACUAUAUGAACUGGCAAAAUUUCUGGUAAAAUUCUGAGAUUCUCACCAAGAUUACCAAAGAAAAUUCAGAGGUUUGGCGUUAUAGGUCUCACACUGAUGGAACUUGUGUGAAAAUUAGUUACUGCCUGCUAAAGAGCCAAUACUAUCACUGCAGCUAUAUGUUGAUGAUUUUAAAAUCGCCAGUCCUCUAGGGACAUCACAUAACAUUUAUAAAUUUUGUGCAGUAUAUUGGACCCUAACCAAUCAGCAGUACAAUGCAUUCAGCUACAGUAGCUGUGCUUUGUAGAGUAACAGACAUCUAGAUAUGUGAAUACUCUGCUGUACUAGUACCACUGUUGGUUGAUAUCCAAACUCUUGAACAGGAUGGUGUCUUUAUUGACUCUGUCGGUUGGAACAUCAAAGGAAAAGUGUUUUGUGUUUCUGCAGACAAUUUGGCUGCUCAUGGACUAUCAUGCUUUGAGUAUUUAAAAUAUUUGCAGAUUUUGUAUGGCUACUAUAUAACUAGAUAAUUUGUAUGGCUAAGUGAAUGCAGUGACUGAUGGGGCAUUUGCCUAGAGAACUAAAGCUGCACAUGACAUUCGUGUUCAGGGUGUAAUGCAAAUAACUCUGUUGACAGUCACUAUGGACUGAAAGGAGACAUUGUUCUGUGUAAGUCACGUUUCCAUCUCAAUACUGGUUUCCCACCAGACAUGCUUCAUGAUCUUUUGGAGAGUAAGAGUGAGUGAGUAUAAUGCCAACUAAAUUGUGUCUUUGCAUUAAAGAGAUGAUUCAGCCAAACACUUCACACUAGAAUGGCUGAAUCAACAGGUAAUUUCAUUCCCUUAUCAGUUUGCAAAUAAGGUUGAUUGACCUGAAGGCACCAUAGGAGGCAAUGGGCAUGAAAUCUCGGUUUAGACUGAUUUUACAAACCUAAAAUACAAACAUGGUGAAGGAUUACAAAUUUAAAAAUUUGUUUAAAAUAUGCUGAUCCUAUGCAUAUUUGAUAUAGGUUCCAAUAUAACAACAUGAACUAAGAGCAGGCAGCCCAGGCCCUGAGACAGUAACCUUUCAGUUCCUGAACAUCUGGCAGGUUUUCCCAAGUUAAGUGUGAAUUCUAAUCUCAAGGUACAACUGUGCCUUUUGUUUAAGCACCUAUGCAUUUGAAUGACACUUGUAUGCUAAAUAGAUCAAGGCUGGGAAAAAUCUUUAACUGAGCUGUUUUCAUGUACCACAUUUGCAUGCUUUGUUUAGAUUGAUUCCACCUCUAUGUACUCCUCCCCCUUCAAACCUAUAUAUUCUGCUGUGCUGAGAUAUUGUAAGACAACUUUUUGAAGACUGCAGUGCAAAGCAGCGAGUAUCUGAAUAAAGAGAAACUUCUGCUUCAAGAUAUCCAAAAACGUCUCCUGGUCUCUAAGAAAAAAUUCACAACAAUGGGCAGGACUGGAUCAAAAAACAAACAUGACGAUGACUGUUGGUAUGUGGAACGUCUUUGUUGCCACGAACUGUCCCCUACUCAAUUAGGUCAUAGUCUCUUUUUCCACUUGCACUCAACUAAAUGACACUGUGAGGAAGUAAAAGCAUAUCAGCAGGCAAAAUUUCUUGUGGACUGAUACUACAUGUUGGUGAAACUGACCGUGCAAGAAAAGUGAAACUUAGUUCACGACCAGCCUCUGUCAGUGCACUAAUUCAGAUUCUAAAAGACCAACUUCAGCCUUGAGUUCAGUUAACAAUAUGAAGACCUUGAUUUUGAUAAUCAGCUAAUUUGCUAACUUCCUUUGACUUCUCAGUUGCCUCAAAAGGCAGUUGUUCAUAUCCUGCCAGUGGACUCAAAAAGGUCCACUACCUCUACUGUUAUUCUGUUAGAUGUGUCGAACCCUGAACAUCUUAAGAUAUGGCCACAUGGUGAUUAUUAUUAUUAUUUUUUUUUUCAUUUCCACAGUUUUCUUACGAUGUCAAAAUAAGUCUUAGACAGGGAAAUGCUAACUUUGAGAAUACUGGAUAGAGUAUGAAGUUAACCAGAGACCAAAAUCAUGAGAUUUUAGAGAAACUUGGCUCACCUAUUUAUGAUUUCAAGUCAUACUCAGAUGACAGACAGAUUGGACAGGUAGCAGAGGCUCUUGUUUAAUAAAGUUGGGGUCAGGCACUGGAUGGAAUGGGUGGAAAACCAGCAUCAAGUUUAAGAUUUGGUUUUUAGCUUGAUAACUCCAAAGUACAGAUUGGGAAUGCUCCAGUGGCCCUACUUACUGUUGUGCAUAAACCUAAGAAAUUUGUAAAGGACCUUUUCCAGUCUGUUUUUUUUUUCUUUACUGUUCACAGAAGGUGAACUUGAAUUCAAGUGAGAGCUUCAGUUUCAAAAGUGAACAUGCAAGGGUUGACUUAAGCAGCAAUAUUUUUAUUAUUUGACAUCUGUUUUAUGAUAGAAAUGGUAAAUGACUGACAGUAAUAUCCAGUAAUCCAUACUACUCAAAAAUGUGCUGUUUUUAUUGAAAUAUAGUUGAUCAUGUAGAUGAUUCAUGCAACUCAUUGUAAAGAGACAAUAAAAUCUUUGCUGUUUUUAAAAUGACAUUUUAAGUAUACUUGAUUCACAGUUAGAAAAUGUCUAAGUAUAUUUGAGCUAUACUUGAGCUAUACUUGUGCUUUAUAUACUUCUCAGACUUUUUUUUAAGUAUGAAUCAAGAAUACUCAUAUGUCAGUUUAAGUAUAUUUCUAAGCAUAUUUUAACUAUAGUUGUUCUCUGGGAAUCUGUGUUUUCAUUGUUAUACUGUAGGGGGCGCUACUGCACAUCUUCUGUACACAUUUUUCAAAACACAAGAAAAAAACGAAAUGCUUCCACGUGUAAUCCUAACACAAUCAACAGACAUAAAACAGCACCAAAUCAGAUGUGUAAAACUGUGUAACAUUAUGGAAUAAAAUGUCAACCAUGAAGAGGUAAUAAUGACUGUCAAGCUUUGGGGUGUUGAUCAACUCCAUCUACGUUUUGAUGAUCAUGAAGUCUUUUUUUUUUUUUUUUUUUUUUUUU